UGCAAGUCGAACGAUGAACCACUUCGGUGGGGAUUAGUGGCGAACGGGUGAGUAACACGUGGGCAAUCUGCCCUUCACUCUGGGACAAGCCCUGGAAACGGGGUCUAAUACCGGAUACGACCAUCAGGGGCAUCCCUUGGUGGUGGAAAGCUCCGGCGGUGAAGGAUGAGCCCGCGGCCUAUCAGCUUGUUGGUGAGGUAAUGGCUCACCAAGGCGACGACGGGUAGCCGGCCUGAGAGGGCGACCGGCCACACUGGGACUGAGACACGGCCCAGACUCCUACGGGAGGCAGCAGUGGGGAAUAUUGCACAAUGGGCGAAAGCCUGAUGCAGCGACGCCGCGUGAGGGAUGACGGCCUUCGGGUUGUAAACCUCUUUCAGCAGGGAAGAAGCGAGAGUGACGGUACCUGCAGAAGAAGCGCCGGCUAACUACGUGCCAGCAGCCGCGGUAAUACGUAGGGCGCAAGCGUUGUCCGGAAUUAUUGGGCGUAAAGAGCUCGUAGGCGGCUUGUCACGUCGAUUGUGAAAGCUCGAGGCUUAACCCCGAGUCUGCAGUCGAUACGGGCUAGCUAGAGUGUGGUAGGGGAGAUCGGAAUUCCUGGUGUAGCGGUGAAAUGCGCAGAUAUCAGGAGGAACACCGGUGGCGAAGGCGGAUCUCUGGGCCAUUACUGACGCUGAGGAGCGAAAGCGUGGGGAGCGAACAGGAUUAGAUACCCUGGUAGUCCACGCCGUAAACGGUGGGAACUAAGGUGUUGGCGACAUUCCACGUCGUCGGUGCCGCAGCUAACGCAUUAAGUUCCCCGCCUGGGGGAGUACGGCCGCAAGGCUAAAACUCAAAGGAAUUUGACGGGGGGCCCGCACAAGCGGCGGGAGCAUGUGGGCUUAAUUCGACGCAACGCGAAGAACCUUACCAAGGCUUGACAUAC
rnacentral:rRNA from 1 species